UACGAAGGGGGCUAGCGUUGCUCGGAAUCACUGGGCGUAAAGGGUGCGUAGGCGGGUCUUUAAGUCAGGGGUGAAAUCCUGGAGCUCAACUCCAGAACUGCCUUUGAUACUGAGGAUCUUGAGGCCGGGAGGGGGUAGCGGAAUUCCCAGUGUAGCGGUGAAAUGCGUAGAUAUUGGCAAGAACACCAGUGGCGAAGGCGGCUCACUGGCCCGGUACUGACGCUGAGGUGCGAAAGCGUGGGGAGCAAACAGG
rnacentral:rRNA from 1 species